GACGAACGCUGGCGGCGUGCUUAACACAUGCAAGUCGAACGGUGAAGCGCCUUCCUUUUUGGUGGGUGUGGAUGAGUGGCGAACGGGUGAGUAACACGUGAGUAACCUGCCCCCUUCUUCUGGAUAACCGCAUGAAAGUGUGGCUAAUACGGGAUAUUCUGGUUCUGUCGCAUGAUGGGUCUGGGACAGCUAUUGUUUCGGUGGGGGAUGGGCUCGCGGCCUAUCAGCUUGUUGGUGGGGUGAUGGCCUACCAAGGCGGUGACGGGUAGACGGCCUGAGAGGGUGGACGGCCAGAGUGGGAGUGAGACAAGGCUGAGACUCAGACGGGAGGCAGAAGUGGGGAAGAUUGCACAGUGGGCGCAAGUCUGAUGCGGGGACGCGGCGGGAGGGAUGGAGGCGCUCGGGUGGUGAACCUCUUUGGGUAGUGAAGCAGGCCUGCCUCGUAUGUGGGGGGGGUGACGGUAGCGGGAUAAGAAGCGCCGGCUAACUACGUG
rnacentral:rRNA from 1 species